rnacentral:tmRNA from 1 species
GGGGUUGUCUAGUUUCGACAGGUUGCCGAUCUUGACAAUUGCAAGCCGACCAUUGGUGGUUAUGUCGCGAAUCUAUCCAUCAAACGAAGAAAAGCAAACAUCUUCACAAAAGCAAAAGACGCAAUUGCGCAAGCAUUUGCACCAUCUUUUGCACCAGCUCUAGCCUAAAGUCGCAAGAGCCAUCGACUUCUUUCGGUCCCAGGAAAAAAAUCGGUGUUAUACAUAGGGACUCGCGCGCAAGGGAUGCCACUGGGACUUGCGUUUUGCUAAAGUUUGCCCAGAGCACGAUCAUGUACAGUCGUAUCUGUUCGAACGCACAUUGAUCGCAAAAAAAGACAGACUAUGCUUGUAGAAAGUUGCGAGAUUACAAUCAUGGACAUGGGUGCAAAUCCCAUCAACUCCACAU